rnacentral:tRNA from 1 species
GGUCCCGUGGUGUAGUGGUUAACAUGCCAGUCUGUCACACUGGAGAUCGCGGAUUCAAAUUCCGUCGGGACCGCCA